GGCAGACUGUGCAGGUUUCUCCUCCCAUUGGCGACUUCGCACGAUGGCAAUGUUGAGCAGUGUAGGGUUGAUCAUGAUCAUGUGACAGCAGCUUUGGGAGAGAACGGCACUGAGCACAGAAACAUCAGGCGCGACUAAAGGAGUUUCCACAGCGCGAGAGAUAGAGCCUACAAGUGAACACUGCCCCUGCUUUAAAACCGUUAUUCAAGUGCUCUGAAACACAUCGACGGUCGGUGAAAAAGUCCUGUGGAGAAGCUAUUUCCAACAGCCUGGAUAAAGAAAGGUUUGGUGGCGAUAAAACAUACUCUGUAGAAGAGGAGAGACGCACAAAUCUCAGCGGGCAUGCGGGAGUUUUUGGAGUUAUUUGACUGCAAACAUUCUACAAGCAAAUAAGAACUUUCGCGCAGAUUCGUUUCGUUUAUUGCGUCAUCAGUUUUUUUAAACUGAUGAUUGAGGGUGAUACAAAGUUGCAACUCUGUGUUUGAAAAGUAGCAACAUCGAGUCAGAAGUUUGGAAUAAAACGGAAAACAUAUCAAACCCCUCCGUUUGCGUUUUUGUUGGGGGCUGUCGUGUUUUCCCAAAGCUUGACGCAUUUUUUUUGUUUGUUUUUGUUUUUUUUUGGCCAAUAUUUUAAACAUGGUUGGGGAAAUGGAAACGAAGGAGAAGCCUAAGCCGACUCCUGAUUAUCUGAUGCAGCUCAUGAACGACAAGAAACUGAUGAGCAGCCUGCCAAACUUCUGUGGCAUUUUCAACCAUCUCGAGCGACUGUUAGAUGAAGAAAUUGGACGGGUACGGAAAGACAUGUACAAUGACACUCUGAAUGGCAGCACAGAUAAAAGGACUUCCGAGCUCCCGGAUGCUGUGGGGCCCAUUGCACAACUCCAAGAGAAACUCUAUGUGCCUGUCAAAGAAUUCCCAGAUUUCAAUUUUGUGGGAAGAAUCCUGGGGCCACGGGGCCUGACAGCCAAACAACUGGAGGCAGAGACGGGCUGCAAGAUCAUGGUGCGAGGCAAAGGAUCCAUGAGAGACAAGAAGAAGGAAGAGCAAAACAGAGGAAAGCCCAACUGGGAACACCUGAACGAAGACCUGCAUGUCCUCAUCACUGUGGAAGACUCUCAGAACCGUGCUGAGAUCAAACUCAAGAGAGCUGUCGAGGAGGUCAAGAAACUGCUUGUCCCUGCGGCUGAAGGUGAAGACAGCUUGAAAAAAAUGCAGCUGAUGGAGCUGGCCAUACUCAACGGCACAUACAGAGACGCCAAUGUCAAGUCACCUUUUUGGCCGAGAUGCAGCCAACAAGAGGCAACAACACAGUCGGCUUUCGUCGACGCUAGUUCUUUGAUGUCGGCUUGGUGUGUCCCGGGCUUUAGAAAUCAGGCAGCAGCCUUAGCCUUCUCCCUGGCCGCCACAGCACAAGCUCCUCGCAUUAUCACCGGCCCCUCCCCGGUGAUGCCCACUGGGGCACUGCGCACCCCUGCACCUACCGCACCCACCCUCAUGCCCCUCAUCCGACAGAUCCAGACCUCUGCCAUCAUGCCCACGGGCACGCCCCAUCACGCCCUCGUACCACAGACCCCUGAGUCAGGCAUCAUCUAUGCACCCUACGAUUACCCCUACACCCUAGCCCCUGCAACCUCCAUUCUUGAAUAUCCUAUUGACUCCAGUGGUGUUUUAGGUAUGGCUUUCCCGACAAAAGGCUAGUAAUGCUCAGGGGUUUUACAGUCUUCAGCCCAUACGAGUGUUAAAAAUGCUUUGCUUUACAGCUGCCUUGGAACAAAAGAGCAAACGAAGAAACUGAUUUUUAUAAGAAACAAAAGACUAAAGAUCAUUACUACUCAUGUUUACACUGGUCUUAACUGUUUUGUUGACUUAUUCAUAGAUUAAAAAUGGAUAUUUUCAGAUAAAUACUGAUAAAUAAGCCUUAUUACAUUCCUCUGUUUGAAAGUAAUCUAUAUUUGUUUAGCUUGUAAUAUUUGUAUCACUUAUUUUUCCUGCAACUGUAUCUUAGAUAUUUAGAGAGUGAUCAGUAUUAUUGCUAAUAUAACAUGCUUGUGAAAAACUUUCUCCAUGAAAUAGCCUGUAGUGAAUUCAUAUUAUCUGAAGCAUCUUGUGUGUUGAGAGGAGGAAUACAAGGGCUCUAUAGUCAUUGUAUAAAUUAGUCAGAGCGUUAAAAAAAAGAACCAUUUGUGUUUUAAUGGAAAUACGUCAGAUUUACUGGGAAAUUGAGAAAGGGCAACAACAUAUGAUGUGAUUUCACAAUGGAGAAAAGGUCACUUGUGCCUUGUAAUUUGGAUUUACAAGCUUGUUUGUGAAACAAUUUUGUGUGAAAUGUCGUUUUAAUGUAUUUUGAUGAUUAAUCUGUUAAUUCUUGUUUUGUUGGCAAUGUUGCGCUCUGAGCAGGUGCAGUGACUACUAAAGUACGAAGGCAGGAUAUGCGCGUCCAUCCUUACCAAAGGGUAGUGACCGCAGAACGAGCCGCCACCGGCAACUAACCAAUGACCCUCUGAACUCUUCACCCAAUGAUGACCUGACCAUUGCCUGCCUGCUGACCAGUUCUCUGGCUCUCGUCCUUCGCUUCUAUGUUUUGGCAGCCUGCUGGUGAGCCCAGAAGCAGCUUUAAUUCGCUUAACACAGCCGAGAAGCCGUGAUGGCCCCACGCCACCACCCGCAGAACCGAAUCGCUCCCCUUCUCAAACUGAGGACCUCCUUGGUCAGGUGACCUGGGCUUCCCAGCCUGCACUGAAGUGUCAUAAAGCAAUAACGCUGUCUGGGUGACACCUAAAAUCCUAAUGUUAGCCCUUCACAUGCACACACUAAAUAAUUUUAUUUGUUUCUAAAAAUGAAUAAUUGACCAUAAUGUUUAAAACUCUCAAGUUUGUGCACUGCAGUUCUCAUAACAUCCCGAAGAGUUAAAAAAAAAAAAAAAAAAAACCCAGCAGUUUACUUUAAAACUGACUUAUAGGUCCAAAAAAGGGAUGUAAAAGCCAUGCUUGCCUUCUUCGGAGAGCUGUCGAAAAGCAUUCAGACACACGAGGAAGUGUACAAACACUGAACAUCAAUUAAUAUCUUUUUGAUACGAGGGUGCUGCACAGGAAAUGAUGAUAUAUUUUUCACAGGUGAUCCUUUUUUUGUAUUAAAAAAAGCAGUAUUGUCAAAAUGUGAUGAGCAAACAACGUUUAUUUCCUUAUGACAAAUAUUUAGAGACCAAAACGGUGUCUUUUUUUAAAUAAAAAAAACAAACAAGUGCCUUAUUUUACACAAUAUCAUCAAUUACGAACAAGUAUGAAUGUCCAUCAAUGUGUUUUAUGCCAACAUAUCAGGUACUUCUGUUCAAUUCCUCUUUAUCGAUGAUCAUGAAAACAAGAGGUGUACAGAACAAUGUUACAGGCGUUACACUCAAAAACUAAUGUUUUUAUGUGCAUUUUAUAAUUUUUCUUUACAAAUAAUGAUUAAUAAGAGUUUUACCCUGUCACACUACAUUACAGUAGGUACUUCUUGAGCCCUUUAUGCUCGCAAUCUGUUUGUUUUUGAAAAUGUUUGUGUAUGUUUAUAGAGCCGUCACUACAUCUGUUAUACAGCAAUGAAGCACAUCGAUAUGAAACUAUUACUUAGAUUCCAUAUUUUUCACUCGGCUUAUAUCUCAAGGAGCAGUUACUCAAUUCAGCAGGUUGAAAUUUCUAAAGGUUUGGGGUUAAUUAGUACAGAACUCAUUUUAUUCCUUUUGAAGAAUUGAAGUGUACUAGAGGAGCAUGUUUGUAUGCAGACAUGUCACAUUUCUCCAUACCUUUCUAUGCAAAUGAGUUUCAGUUUUAUUAAAAUGACUGAAUAAAUUUCCUUCAGUUGGUCUUCCAGUGCCAUUUCAGUGCUUAAGAACAAUGAAACUAAAAGCCUAUUAACAAAUUAUGAUUACAUUUUGUUAUUUGGUUAUCAUAACUGGAUUUUGAGAAGAUACAUCUCCUUUUUUUUUUUUUUUAUAAUAAUAUUGGUUGUAUUUAUGCAGAGCAAAUGCAAUACUUUUUAGACGUUUGAGGUUGUGAUCCAGUUGCAUGUCAUUUUUUUUUAUUUUUUAUUAUUAACCUGGAAAUUGCUAAAGGAAAAAUCCUGCAAAUAUGUUUUUAUGAGGAUCUCUCACCCUGUCAGCUUGACCAGGAACUGGAGUUGUUUGUUAAUUUGUGUUUUUUGGUUUAGUGUUUGCUUUCCAUGCAGUAUUACUAUAGACUAUGUCGGUGUGUGAGAGCAUGUGUGUUUACUGAUGAUUGUGUGAGUGAGUGUUUGUGUAUUGUAUAUGCCAAUGAACUGCAACUUGCCAUUCAAGCUUAUUAUUAUUGUCAUUUUUCUUUCUUUUUUUUCCUUUUUUUUUGCAAACCCAAGCAGCUCCCUGCAUUGGAAAAUAUACAGUCCUAUUUAUAACCAUUGUAACAUUUUAUAAUGUAUUUUUCUAUCAUAUUUUGUAUGUGAGAAAUAACAUUAAAUCACAUUUCCAGAUAUGAACAGUAUGCCUUAUUACAAAAAUUGAUAUGAGAGAGACAUUUUUUUCCAUGAUGACGAUAUUCCAUAGGUGAUGGAAAAUGGAAAACCCCAUUUGAUGAACAAUAUUAUUUGGUUUCAGCCUCACUCUCAGCAAGUUUUAACGUGGUUAUUAUUUGCUGGGGUGUUUGGUUUGUCAUUGUUGCUUUGCCUCUGUGCCUUCUUAUGUAAAUUGUAAGCUAUUAACCAUUUCUAGUUAUAUAAUUUGAUUAAUCUUUUCUUGCCGAUUGUUCUAACAUUUGAUGAUUUCUUUACAUUAACCCUGUCAAUAAUUUCUUUUGUCUGCUUUGAAUCGUUAGAGCAGGAUUUGUGUGAAAUUAAGCAAAAGAGUGUUUUACUGACUGAUAUAUGCUGGACUAAACUCUGUAAUGAGAAGCAAUAGCAGAUUAUUAAAAUCAUAGUUUUAAAAAUUAAA